AGAGUUUGAUCCUGGCUCAGAACAAACGCUGGCGGCGUGCCUAACACAUGCAAGUCGUACGAGAAAGUCCGCUUCGGUGGAUGAGUAAAGUGGCGCACGGGUGAGUAACGCGUGGAUAAUCUACCCUUUAGUCUGGAAUAACUUAUCGAAAGGUGAACUAAUACCGGAUAAUAUCCCGAUUCCUUCGGCGAUCGGGAUCAAAGAAGGCCUCUGCUUGCAAGCUUUCACUGAAGGAUGAGUCCGCGUACCAUUAGCUAGUUGGCAGGGUAAUGGCCUACCAAGGUUAUGAUGGUUAGCUGGUUUGAGAGGAUGAUCAGCCACACUGGAACUGAAACACGGUCCAGACUCCUACGGGAGGCAGCAGUGAGGAAUAUUGCGCAAUGGGGGCAACCCUGACGCAGCAACGCCGCGUGAGUGAGGAAGGUUUUCGGAUUGUAAAGCUCUGUCGAGCGGAAAGAAGUGCAUGGUGGUUAAUAUCCAUCAUGCUUGACGGUACCGCUAAAGGAAGCACCGGCUAACUCCGUGCCAGCAGCCGCGGUAAUACGGGGGGUGCAAGCGUUGUUCGGAAUCAUUGGGCGUAAAGCGCGUGUAGGCGGCUGGACAAGUCAGAUGUGAAAGCCCUGGGCUUAACCCAGGAAGUGCAUUUGAAACUGUUCAGCUAGAGUAAGGGAGAGGAAAGUGGAAUUCCUGGUGUAGAGGUGAAAUUCGUAGAUAUCAGGAGGAACACCGGUGGCGAAGGCGACUUUCUGGCCCUAUACUGACGCUGAGACGCGAAAGCGUGGGUAGCAAACAGGAUUAGAUACCCUGUAGUCCACGCUGUAAACGAUGUUCACUAGUGUGGGGGUAUUGACCCUUCCAGUGCCGAGCUAACGCAUUAAGUGAACCGCCGGGGAAUACGGUCGCCAGAUUAAAAUUCAAAGGAAUUGACCG
rnacentral:rRNA from 1 species